UUGGCGUGGUAGGUUAUAAUGAAUUCAUUUCUUGCCUUUUACCAGAAGUGACCGUGUAACCGCCACUAAACGCCAUUUAAGAAUCUUUGGAACUGAACCAGAACGCCACUGCGUGUGGU
rnacentral:snRNA from 1 species